CCCCUCCUAACUGGCAAACAAUACACUGAUUUCAACCUUCUUUAAUCCCUCCCUCCCAGGGUUCUCCUACCGUGGUGUGAUUGUCCCUACCCUCCCUCACUGUGUUCCGACCCUCCCUCAUUGUGUCCCUACCCUCCCUCACUGUGUCCCUACUCCCUCCCGCGCCGCCUCACGCCCACAAACUGGCUACAGAAGUAAUAAAUGCGUGGGAGAUGCGGUGUGGUGGGCGCACCUCGGCCUCCACUUGUCAGCCUAACAUGGCUGUGUCAACAAACAUGGCUGCUGGGUACAUGACCGCCCCAUCUCAUCUAACUUGUGUCACACGACACUACAUGGGAACUGCUCUCUCUCCUUCUCUCCAAGAUGGUGUGUCCUGCCACGAUGUGACGUUACCGAGAGGAAUGUGAACGAUGGAGAACAGAACAAGCUAAAGGGAGACACGUACGAGCUGCAAGAAUAGUUACGUGGAAGGCUAAAAGAAUUCAUCCCCUCAAAAGGACAAGAUUUUUCUGAUUAAUGAGGGAGGGCGAGUAAAAACCUGAGACAGAGUAUAGACUGGAAUUUAGAAGAGCUCCAGUUAUCGGAAGAGGUUAGGUAAGGUUUGCCAGGAAAUAGGACAGGUGUUGCCUGAUGCGGAUCUUAAGUCAUAUGAUGGCCCGAAGCAGGAGCUUGUGGUCAUCUGACCGAAGCCUUCCGCUGACUUACCCCUCCACCCCUUUAAAAAUUAUGGUUAUGACUAUAACCUUUAUGUAUAUAAUAUCCAAAGAGGGAAAAAUGACGGGUAUAGUACAUGACAUUGAACAUCUCAGCUGAGUGUACGAGUACAUUAACUCUGCACCCGGCACCACACACCCUACAGAUAUAAAUGGUUACAAUCAUAACGAUGAUUUUUUAAAGGGGUGGACCAGUAAACCAGCGGAAGGCCCUGGUCAGAUGAUUAAAUCCUCCAGCUGUGGGUUAUCAUAUGACUAAGACCCGCGUCAGGAAACACUUGUCUUGUUUCCUACCGAACCUUAUACCAACCUACCACACACAGCCUGACCCAGAUGAGUUCUACACACUACAAUAUUAUUAUUUUCAUGUGUUGACCUUCUACUAGGCAACAAUGUUGUGGGUCUAACCAGGUGAGCAAGGCAAGAACUUCUGUGCAUCUCCUAGAUCUUUCUACUGACUGUGGUGACAAUUUGGGCCUGGGGAGCCUGUUCAUUGAGUCUGACCUGCAGAAGACUCCGGCCAUUGAUGAACCAGCCCAGAGACAGUGGUUAAGAUGAGGUGGAAGGCACCAGUGAACCAGCCUGCCAGUCUAACUAGGAUGACAUGGGACCAUGAGGUGGUGCUACACGAUGUGGAGGCUAGAGAGAGGAGGUGUUGGUACUGGAGCUGGCACCUGGGAAUGCUCUGAUUAGUAGUGAAUGGUACCUGCUGGUGAAUGAGUAAGCAGUGAUGGAGGACAAGGACAGAUGCAUCUUUACCUUCAUGGAAGUGAGGACAUAUAAACCCUUGGAAGGACCAGCAGAUGAAGAUUAAGGAGCCAACUACUUCAGCUGAUGGCCAAGUUUUGCUGUCUUAUAGUCAGAGCGCAACUGGAUAAAACUUGCCAGAACAGUACGGUCAAGACCACUCUGAAAUUUUAAAAGUGGGUAACUAACUGCACUAAAGUAUAUAU